UUUAAUUCACCAAAGUGGCAUUCAACUGAUCACAAAGUAUAGUCAGGACAUUACUGAUGUAAAAAACAGCACCAUCACUAUUUGAAAAAAGUCAUUUUUGAUCAAAUCUAGACAGGCCCCAUUUCCAGCAGCCAUCACUCCAACACCUUAUCCUUGAGUACUCAUGCUAAAUUGCUAAUUUGGUACUAGAAAAUCACUUGCCAUUAUAUCAAACACAGCUGAAAGCUAUUUGGUUCGUUAAAUGAAGCUUAACAUUGUCUUUGUGUUUGUUUUUGUGUUGCCACAGUAUGCAAUAGAGUGGCAUGUCUUAUGGUCAGGGUUGGGAUGGUUACUUUUGAAAUGUAUUCCACUACAGAUUACUGAAUACAUGCUGUAAAAUGUCAUUUGUUACGUAUUCCAUUAGAUUACUCAAGGUCAGUAACGUAUUCUAAAUACUUUGGAUUACUUCUUCAGCACUGGUAGAUUUUUUCACUUGUUUUCACUGUAAAAACAAUACAAAAAUUAUCAUCAAGAAUAGGAUUUUUGCCCUAAUAUCAAAGGUCUUACUAGAAAAAAGAAAUUAUGAUCCAAUGUGAAUAAAAAAAAUAUGAUCCUGCCUGGUAACGUGCAUGUAAAAUGGCUAGAAAUAGCAUUUUAGCUUAGUGUAAAGAUGACAAUUUACACAAGGUUUAUUUCCAUUUCUUCUGCUCCAAACUUACUUCAAACUUUGUCUACACGUAUGAAUGUAACACAUCAUAAGAAAGUGUUUCACCGCUGUUCAAAUGCACUUUGGAUCGCAUCAUUUAUAUGUAUAAAUGUUUUCCAUCAAAAAAGGACUAAAUAUUAAAUGAAACAAAUGACAAUAAAAUCAAAGUAAUCUCUUCAGUAAUCAAAAUACUUUUUGAAUGUAAUUUUAUUCUAAUUACCAAUGAUUUAAAUUGUAAGUGUAGUGGAAUACAGUUACUUAUAUUUUGUAUUUUAAAUAAGUAAUCCGUUACAUGUAUUCCGUUACUCCCCAACCCUGCUUAUGGACAAUAUUAGGUCAAAAAUGACAAAAAAGAAACAGCUUUCUUUAGAAACUCAUCAGUUAAUCAUUGUUUUGAGGAAUGAAGGCUAUACAAUGCUUGAAAUUGCCACAAAAAAAAAAAAGAUUUCAUACAAAGGUGUACACUACAGUCUUCAAAGACAAAGGACAACUGGCUCUAACAAGGACAGAAAGAGAUGUGGAAGACCAGAUGUACAACUAAACAAGAGGAUAAGUACAUCAGAGUCUCUAGUUUGAGAAACACACACUCACAUGUCCUCAGCUGACAGCUUCAUUGAAUUCUACCUGCUCAACACCAGUUUCAUGUACAACAGUAAAGAGAAGACUCGGGGGUGCAGGACUUAUGGGAAGAAUUGCAAAGAAAAAGAAAAGGUUCGAGGAAUGAGGAAGUGGGAGAUGGCAAAUCCAACUCAAAGAUCUUCUCAAUGGGAACUCCCCAUUUUUUGCACCUGUGGAGAGAAGAAAGUGGUAAACAAGACAUCAAGGCAGAGAUCCUUCACAAAAACACACACAGUACGUGUAAAGGUCAAAGGGAUAUUCUUCCACUCUUUUCCAAAACAAAGGACCCUCCCAUUCAGAAACCGUUGUGAACGGGCUAGCAGGGAGUUUUUUUUUCCAAAAAUAAGCAGAGAGGUGGGCUGAUGACAACAGAGGCAGAAGUGUGCUUCACAGUUACAGACCCUUCUUUGGCCUGAACUGCUAUCCCCACCUACGGACAUUACAUACAAGAGGAAAAAUUACCACAGCCCAUUGUUCCUGCCUGCAUGUUUUCCCCCUCAUUACCUUAAAACUAUUUCCAUGGCAGUACUGAAAUUUUGGACUUGCAAAAAACUAUUUUCAUCAAGUAACAGGCACAUUAGUUGCAAUAUUUAAAUGAAUGUUCCAGGUUCAAUACAAGUUAAGUUCAAUCGACAGCAUUUGUGGCAUAAUGGUAAUUACCACAAAAAAUUAUUUUAACACAUCCCUCGUUUAUUAAAAAAGAAGAAGCAAAGAUUGUGGUUACAGUAAAGCACUUACAAUAGAAGUGAAUGGGGCCAGUUCAUAAACAUAAAAAAUAAAUAAAUCCCAAAGCAUUGCAACAAGAUGUAAACAUUAUAUGAGUUAACAUGAUUUUAGUGUGAGAAAAUUGCUUACCUUACUUACGUUACUUAAGUCAUGUAAAACAGAGAUUUUAUCACACUAGAAUCAUGUUAACAUGUAUAAUGUUUACAUCUUGUGGCUAUACUCGUGAAAUGAUGUGUAUUUCAGUGUUUAUGACUGGCCCCAUUCACUUCCAUUGUAAGUACUUUUUUAGCUUCUUCUUUUUUUUUUUUUAAAUGACAAGGGGCGAGUCUAAAUUAUUUGAUGUGCUCAUUAUAUUUUUUUCAUCUGGAUCUAUUCAUUUAUAAUUAAUUUAUUUGUUCAACAAUUCUGUUUAAAAGUAAAUAAAUUAAUUCACGUGUAUUAUAGAUGUAAGGAAAAUAUGUUUUAUUUGUACAUGAUGGUUACUCCACUUGACAAUUUUAGAGUUAUUACAACAAAGAUUUGUUGAAAAUGGUAAAAAAAUGUUUGCAGUCCUUUAUCAUUUUUUCUAUUAAAAUACACAAUUUAUCAAUAAAUCUUGAAGCUAAAUGAAACCAUAAAACCAAAAAUGCUAAAAUUUAAGGUAUAAUAUGAAAUAAGUGCAGCCUUGUUAAAAAUGGUAUAAACCAGGUGUCCCCAAGGGCGUACAGUAUGAAGAAUUUACAUGUUUCCAUUGAUCAUGGUAUACAUUUUGGGGGGUUACUUCCCCCCAUCCCCCCGGAAUCUACACCCCUAGGUGUCCCACCAUUUUUGACUAAUACAUUUUCAUGCAUUUUCCAUGACCUUUCCAAGUGUUUUUGAUUACUGGAUACAGAUUUUCAAAAUCAUUUCAAUUCAGACCAAUUUGCUAAUGAAUCAAUUACACUAAUCUGUGAACGUUUCAACUAAUACAUUGAAAAGAACUGACUCAAAGAAUGAUUCACUCACUAAUUGGACAAUACUACGGCUUGUGAGCGAGUGUUACUCUAGACAAGAGCAAUAUCUAGCUCAUGUAACAUUUUAGAGCUGAGAACAACCUUGACUUCUGAUGACUUCCAUAACUUUUCCAAGUCUGGAAAACACCAUUUUAAAAUCCUCUGACAUUUCCAAGUUUUCCAUGACUUUGAGAAUCCUAAUAAAAUUUUUUUCAAAAACAUUCAAAACCAAAAAGACUACAGAGUACAUGACUAAGAACUUUUUUUAAAGAUGUUUUUUCCCACAAAUUAAAGGAAUAGUUCACCCGUCUCAAACUCGUCUAACUUGUAUGUCUUUCUUUUGCAGAACACAAAGAUAUUUUAAAGGAUUUGUGAUGUGUUUUUGUCUAAACAAUGCAAGUCAAUGGGUUUCAAAACUAAAGUUCCAAGGGCAUAAAGGCAGCAUAAAAGUAAGACUCCAGUGGUUUAAUCCAUGUCUUCUGAAGCAAUACAAUCGCUUUUGGGUGAGAAGAGACCAAAAACUAAUUUUUCACUAUAAAUCUUGACAUCUGCAGUCUCCUAGGUGCAGUCACGAUUUGAAGCAGGAUUACACUUCCUUGCGCUUGACGCAUGCACAGAGCAUGUGUACAGCACUCUACGUUUCCGUCUGUUCUCACCAAAAACUGAUCAUAUUGCUAUAAGAACACAGGGAUUAAAUCACUUGAGUCAUAUAAAUGACCUCUAUGCUGCCUUUGUCCUUUUUGUAUUUCAGAUAUCCUCUCCCUUGCCUUCUGCUUCAUCUCUUCGUCUUGUUUAUCAGAGAGUGCGCAUGGCUCAGAUAUUAGAUUUUACACUUAUUCCAAACAAUAGACCUUUAUACAAAUUUUUACCUUACCAGUAUAUUGCAUCAAUUUCCCAUUUAAAAAUAAAAAUAAAAUAAAAACAGGAAAAAUUCAUGUUAGUCCCCUGCUAAAAAGACCAGCAUUAAUUUCCAUGCUGGCACAGCCUGCUAUUUUGCUGAUUAGCUCUGGUCUAAUGCUGCGCUCCAUUCAACUCGGAAAAUCAGAUUUUCCAGCUUCCUACUUGGAAAAGGGCAAUGGAACGGCACUUGAAUUCCAACAUGGAAAGUCAUGAGGAAAUGUUAAAUUCAGAUUUCGCCGAGAUGCAGGUGCGUGACAUCACACAAACAUGUCGGCACCCAGGAAGAUAUACAAAAUAAGUGAUAAACAUUGACUUUUAUUAAAUAAUAUCGAUAAAUUAGUCAAAGUUCCUACAUUACAUGAUAUUAAAGCUUGUUUAACAGAGUAGCAGUUGUUCAAAACAUGGUAAAUAUACUCUCUUUUGAUAAUUGUACACCUGUAGCACAAAUGCUAGCAUUGCAGAUUGUUUAUGAAUUGGGUUAUUAAGAGACAUCUCUGGUGACAGUCAAACACCUGCUAGGCAAACAGGAGCGCUGAAGUUUUGUUUCCUUAAGCGUCAUCUUCCAAGCAUCUGGCAAUGGAAUGCAUUUAGUCGGAGAUCGGAGAUAUCAAGUGGAAUAUCCCACAUCCGACUUGAAUGGAACUUAGCAUAAGUGGUGGACCAGCAAAACUGGUUAUGAUGUUUAUCAAGUUGUAAAUGCUUGUAAUGAAGCUAUCAUAUGUUUGCAGAUUCAGGACUGAAAUAUAUGUCUACCAUUAAAUCACUGCAUUAAAUACAGCUACAUGCUUUUUAAUUUUCUCACUGUGAAGUGUCUUGGCAUCUGCUUUGGCUUUUUUAACUCUUGUGCGACCUCAGGGACAUUUUUGUCUUUUUCAUUUUUGCUUUUUCGAUCAUUUUGGCUGUUAAUGCCAACGGCAUAAAUUUACACAACGGUGUGUAUUUUUGGGGGAAUUUUGAUAUUUCAACCUCAGUUCCUAUUAUUCAUCUAUAAUACACUGUAUAUAAAAAAAUAAAUAAAAUAGUCACACUCAGGACCUUCAGGACAAAAAUGUCCCAGUGCCAUUAAAGCAUAAAAUCAUGAAUUCUAUGAUAUUAUGAUUUUAUUCCGGAGCCCUGGCUUCAAAAUGUAAAUUUUUAAAUAUUUUUCUCCAGAUGGCACAAUUUUUCUCAUGUGUAGUCUAUGGAGCAAAUACAUGCUUUUUUCCUAUUUUCUGUUUGCUGUAUUAUAGAGCGCUGCAGGCCAGUUG